rnacentral:rRNA from 2 species
AGUAGGGAAUCUUCCGCAAUGGACGAAAGUCUGACGGAGCAACGCCGCGUGAGCGAUGAAGGCCUUCGGGUCGUAAAGCUCUGUUGUUAGGGAAGAACAAGUAUCGGAGUAACUGCCGGUACCUUGACGGUACCUAACCAGAAAGCCACGGCUAACUACGUGCCAGCAGCCGCGGUAAUACGUAGGUGGCAAGCGUUGUCCGGAAUUAUUGGGCGUAAAGCGCGCGCAGGCGGUCCUUUAAGUCUGAUGUGAAAGCCCACGGCUCAACCGUGGAGGGUCAUUGGAAACUGGGGGACUUGAGUGCAGAAGAGGAAAGCGGAAUUCCACGUGUAGCGGUGAAAUGCGUAGAGAUGUGGAGGAACACCAGUGGCGAAGGCGGCUUUCUGGUCUGUAACUGACGCUGAGGCGCGAAAGCGUGGGGAGCAAACAGGAUUAGAUACCCUGGUAGUCCACGCCGUAAACGAUGAGUGCUAAGUGUUAGAGGGUUUCCGCCCUUUAGUGCUGCAGCUAACGCAUUAAGCACUCCGCCUGGGGAGUACGGCCGCAAGGCUGAAACUUCAAAG